AACGAACGCUGGCGGCGUACCUAACACAUGCAAGUCGUACGAGAAAUUCCGAUUCGUCGGGAGAGUAAAGUGGCGAACGGGUGAGUAACACUAGGGUAAUCUUCCCUUAAAUAAGGGAUAACGUUGCGAAAGCGACGCUAAUACCUUAUAAGACUACGAUCUCUUAGGAGGUAGUAGGAAAAGAUGGCCUCUGUUUCAAGCUAUCGUUUAAGGAUGAGCCCUAGCACUAUUAGCUAGUUGGUGAGGUAACGGCUCACCAAGGCGACGAUGGUUAGCUGGUCUGAGAGGAUGGCCAGCCACACUGGAACUGAGACACGGUCCAGACUCCUACGGGAGGCAGCAGUGAGGAAUAUUGCGCAAUGGGGGCAACCCUGACGCAGUGACGCCGCGUGAGUGAUGAAGGCUUUCGAGUCGUAAAGCUCUGUUAGGUGGAAAGAAACAAUCCCGGCGCUAAUAUCGUCGGGACUUGACGGUACCACCAGAGGAAGCACCGGCUAACUCCGUGCCAGC
rnacentral:rRNA from 1 species